rnacentral:rRNA from 1 species
UACGAAGGGUGCAAGCGUUAUCCGGAUUCAUUGGGUUUAAAGGGUGCGUAGGCGGAACAAUAAGUCAGCGGUGAAAGCCCGUAGCUUAACUACGGAAUUGCCGUUGAUACUGUUGUUCUUGAGUGCGUUUGACGUGGGCGGAAUGUGCCGUGUAGCGGUGAAAUGCUUAGAUAUGGCACAGAACACCGAUAGUGAAGACAGCUCACGAAGACGAAACUGACGCUGAGGCACGAAAGCGUGGGGAUCAAACAGGAUUAGAUACCCUGGUAGUCCACGCCGUAAACGAUGAUCACUCGUGAUCGGCGAUAUACUGUCGGUCACCUAGCGAAAGCGUUAAGUGAUCCACCUGGGGAGUACGAUCGCAAGAUUGAA